AUAUUGUGAUAUAUAAUAUUGUUUGUGGCGCGCAGCCCGUGGGACUACCUGGGAUGUGCGCCCAGUAGCUCCGAGGAGGAGGAGCUCUACCCCGCACCAGCCCGUACUCCAUUGCCGUUUCCCUACUCUACCCGCGCUCAGUGACUUUCGCGGCCGAGAUGCCGCGCUCCGUGAAGCCAGCGGAUGGGACGCCACGCUCUGUGACUCCCGUGGCUCAUCCGCGCUCCGAGAAUCCCGCGGCCGCGGGAUUCUUAGGUUUUUCUGUUCCUGUCCCCGUCACUGUGCUAGUUUCUGUCCCUGUAAGUGUAUUUGUCCCGGUUCUCUCGUCCACAGUCCAGUCUCUGUCCCAGUCUAACGUCCAACCCCCUGUCCAGUCUUUCGUCCAGUCUCCGUCCCCUGUCCAGUCUUUGUUCAUGUCCCCUGCCCUGUCUGCAUCCCUGCCCGAUGUACAGCCCUCUGUCCAGUCUCAGUUCUCGUCCCCUGUCCGGUCUCUGCUUUUCCCACCUCCCCAGUCUCCAUUCCAGUCCCAGUCUGUAUCCCCUGUCCAGCCCAAUGUCCAGUCUCCGUUUACGCCCACUGUCCAGUCCCCUGUUCAGUCUCAUUUCCCGUCCCCUGUCCUGCCCAAUAUCCAGUCUCCAUUUGUGUCUAGUGUCCAGUCUAACGUCCGAUGUCCGUUCACAUCCUUAGUCCAGUCCCCUGUUCGAUCUCCAGUCCAGUCCCCUUUGUUGUCUAGGGUCCAGUCUGUGUUUCAGUUUCCUGUCCCGUCCUUUGGCCAGUCUCCUCUCGUCUUUGCUCAGUCUGAGUCUUGUUUGGUGUCCUGUUGUGUUUUCCACCCCCUCUUGCCCGGCUCCUGGGGAUCUGUUUUUACGCGCCCCGGGAGUUGCGCGUUAAAGGGGGGGUUCUGUCAGGUCUUUUGUCUGUCUGCUUCUCAUGUCUGUGUUAUUCUCAGGUCUGUGUUUCAUUCCCAGUGUUUUUCCACUCACCUGUGUUCAUUUGUAGCUCCGCCCCUUCGUCCCAGGUGUUUCCUGUUUCCUGUGUGUGUGCACCUCUAUUUAAGGUCCGUGUUCCAUUUCCCCGGUGUCGAUCCUUGUACGUUUAUCGUCUGUCAGUGCUCCAUGUUUUCCCCAGUUUCCUCAGUCCUGUUUUCGGUAGUUCCCUGUGUAUUUUGUAUUUGUUUUUCGUUAAUAAAUCCCAUUUUGUUUGCAUUUGCGUCCGCCUCCGCGUCCUCCCUGCACCCGCACCUGAC
rnacentral:lncRNA from 1 species